rnacentral:rRNA from 1 species
GAUGAACGCUGGCGGCGUGCCUAAUACAUGCAAGUCGAGCGAACAGACGAGGAGCUUGCUCCUCUGACGUUAGCGGCGGACGGGUGAGUAACACGUGGAUAACCUACCUAUAAGACUGGGAUAACUUCGGGAAACCGGAGCUAAUACCGGAUAAUAUAUUGAACCGCAUGGUUCAAUAGUGAAAGACGGUUUUGCUGUCACUUAUAGAUGGAUCCGCGCCGCAUUAGCUAGUUGGUAAGGUAACGGCUUACCAAGGCGACGAUGCGUAGCCGACCUGAGAGGGGGAUCGCCCACCCUGGACCUGAGACACGUUCCAGCUUCCAAGGGGAGCCAGCAGUAGGGAACCUUCCGCAAGGGGCGAAAGCCUGACGGACAAACGCGGGGUGGGGGAUGAAGGUCUCCGGAUGGUAAACCCCUGUUAUUAGGGAAGAACAAAUGUGUAAGUAACUAUGCACGUCUGGACGGUACCUAACCAGAAAGCACCGGCAAACUACGG